CCCUUAGAUGUUCUGGGCUGUACGCGCGCUACACUGAUGCGCUCAACGAGUUUUAACCUUGCCUGGAAAGGUUGGGUAAUCUUUUUAAAACGCAUCGUGAUGGGGAUAGAUUAUUGCAAUUAUUAAUCUUCAACGAGGAAUGCCUAGUAGGCGCAAGUCAUCAGCUUGCGUCGAUUACGUCCCUGCCCUUUGUACACACCGCCCGUCGCUCCUACCGAUUGGGUGUGCUGGUGAAAUGUUCGGAUCGGCCGUUUGUCGCGGUUUCCGCGUCAUGUGGCUGAGAAGUUCAUUAAACCCUCCCACCUAGAGGAAGGAGAAGUCGUAACA
rnacentral:rRNA from 1 species